rnacentral:rRNA from 1 species
ACAGUGGACGCGAGCAUCUAGUUAGCGCAAGUUUCUAAGGGCGCACGGUGGAUGCCUUGGCACCAGGAACCGAUGAAGGACGCGAGAGGCCGCGAUAGGCCCCGGGGAGCUGUCAACUGAGCUGUGAUCCGGGGGUGUCCGAAUGGGGAAACCCGGCAGUCGUCAUGGGCUGUCACCCAUACCUGAACACAUAGGGUAUGUGGAGGGAACGCGGGGAAGUGAAACAUCUCAGUACCCGCAGGAAGAGAAAACAACCGUGAUUCCGGGAGUAGUGGCGAGCGAAACCGGAUGAGGCCAAACCGUAUGCGUGUGAUACCCGGCAGGGGUUGCGUAUGCGGGGUUGUGGGAUCGCACUUCAGCAGUCUGCCGACUGUUGGGCGAGUCAGAAACCGUAUGGAUAGGCGAAGGACAUGCGAAAGGUCCGGCGUAGAGGGUAAGACCCCCGUAGCUGAAAUCUGUACGGCUUGCUUGUGCGACACCCAAGUAGCACGGGGCCCGAGAAAUCCCGUGUGAAUCUGGCGGGACCACCCGCUAAGCCUAAAUAUUCCCUGGUGACCGAUAGCGGAUAGUACCGUGAGGGAAUGGUGAAAAGUACCGCGGGAGCGGAGUGAAAUAGUACCUGAAACCGUGUGCCUACAAGCCGUGGGAGCGUCGCUGUGCAUGCUUGCAUGCACAGUCGUGACUGCGUGCCUUUUGAAGAAUGAGCCUGCGAGUUUGCGGUGUGUGGCGAGGUUAACCCGUGUGGGGUAGCCGUAGCGAAAGCGAGUCCGAAUAGGGCGAAUGAGUCGCGCGCCCAAGACCCGAAGCGGAGUGAUCUAGCCAUGGGCAGGUUGAAGCGGAGGUAAGACUUCGUGGAGGACCGAACCCACCAGGGUUGAAAACCUGGGGGAUGACCUGUGGUUAGGGGUGAAAGGCCAAUCAAACUCCGUGAUAGCUGGUUCUCCCCGAAAUGCAUUUAGGUGCAGCGUCGCGUGUUUCUUGCCGGAGGUAGAGCACUGGAUAGGCGAUGGGCCCUACCGGGUUACUGACCUUAGCCAAACUCCGAAUGCCGGUAAGUGAGAGCGCGGCAGUGAGACUGUGGGGGAUAAGCUCCAUGGUCGAGAGGGAAACAGCCCAGAGCAUCGACUAAGGCCCCUAAGCGUACGCUAAGUGGGAAAGGAUGUGGAGUCGCAGAGACAACCAGGAGGUUGGCUUAGAAGCAGCCAUCCUUGAAAGAGUGCGUAAUAGCUCACUGGUCAAGUGAUUCCGCGCCGACAAUGUAGCGGGGCUCAAGCGUACCGCCGAAGUCGUGUCAUUCCCGUGUGAAGCCCUAACGGGUGCGGGGAUGGGUAGGGGAGCGUCGUGUGCCGGGUGAAGCGGCGGCGGAAGCCAGUCGUGGACGGUACACGAGUGAGAAUGCAGGCAUGAGUAGCGAUACACACGUGGGAAACGUGUGCGCCGAUUGACUAAGGGUUCCUGGGUCAAGCUGAUCUGCCCAGGGUAAGUCGGGACCUAAGGCGAGGCCGACAGGCGUAGUCGAUGGACAACCGGUUGAUAUUCCGGUACCCGCUUUGAAACGCCCAGUAUCGAACCCUCUGAUGCUAAGGCCGUGAAGCCGUCCUGGAGCCUUCGGGCAAAGGGGAGUGGUGGAGCCGCCGGUCCAAGGUGGUAGUAGGUAAGCGAUGGGGUGACGCAGGAAGGUAGUCCAGCCCGGGCGGUGGUUGUCCCGGGGUAAGGGUGUAGGGCGUUGCGUAGGCAAAUCCGCGCGACAUAUAGUCUGAGACCUGAUGCCGAGCCGAUUGUGGUGAAGUGGAUGAUCCUAUGCUGUCGAGAAAAGCCUCUAGCGAGUUUCAUGGCGGCCCGUACCCUAAACCGACUCAGGUGGUCAGGUAGAGAAUACCGAGGCGUUCGGGUGAACUAUGGUUAAGGAACUCGGCAAAAUGCCCCCGUAACUUCGGGAGAAGGGGGGCCACAACUGGUGAGGGGACUUGCUCCCUGAGCUGGGGGUGGCCGCAGAGACCAGCGAGAAGCGACUGUUUACUAAAAACACAGGUCCGUGCGAAGCCGUAAGGCGAUGUAUACGGACUGACGCCUGCCCGGUGCUGGAACGUUAAGGGGACCGGUUAGUCACAUUUCGGUGUGGCGAAGCUGAGAACUUAAGCGCCAGUAAACGGCGGUGGUAACUAUAACCAUCCUAAGGUAGCGAAAUUCCUUGUCGGGUAAGUUCCGACCUGCACGAAUGGCGUAACGACUUCUCGACUGUCUCAACCAUAGGCCCGGUGAAAUUGCACUACGAGUAAAGAUGCUCGUUUCGCGCAGCAGGACGGAAAGACCCCGGGACCUUUACUAUAGCUUGAUAUUGGUGUUCGGUUCGGCUUGUGUAGGAUAGGUGGGAGACUUUGAAGCGGCAGCGCCAGCUGUUGUGGAGUCGUCGUUGAAAUACCACUCUGGUCGUGCUGGAUGUCUAACCUCGGUCCGUGAUCCGGAUCAGGGACAGUGUCUGGUGGGUAGUUUAACUGGGGCGGUUGCCUCCUAAAGAGUAACGGAGGCGCCCAAAGGUUCCCUCAGCCUGGUUGGCAAUCAGGUGUUGAGUGUAAGUGCACAAGGGAGCUUGACUGUGAGACUGACGGGUCGAGCAGGGACGAAAGUCGGGACUAGUGAUCCGGCGGUGGCUUGUGGAAGCGCCGUCGCUCAACGGAUAAAAGGUACCCCGGGGAUAACAGGCUGAUCUUCCCCAAGAGUCCAUAUCGACGGGAUGGUUUGGCACCUCGAUGUCGGCUCGUCGCAUCCUGGGGCUGGAGUCGGUCCCAAGGGUUGGGCUGUUCGCCCAUUAAAGCGGUACGCGAGCUGGGUUUAGAACGUCGUGAGACAGUUCGGUCCCUAUCCGCUGCGCGCGUAGGAAUAUUGAGAAGGGCUGUCCCUAGUACGAGAGGACCGGGACGGACGAACCUCUGGUGUGCCAGUUGUCCUGCCAAGGGCAUGGCUGGUUGGCUACGUUCGGAAAGGAUAACCGCUGAAAGCAUCUAAGCGGGAAGCCUGCUUCGAGAUGAGUAUUCCCACCCCCUUUGAGGGGUUAAGGCUCCCAGUAGACGACUGGGUUGAUAGGCCAGAUGUGGAAGCCCGGUAACGGGUGGAGCUGACUGGUACUAAUAGGCCGAGGGCUUGUCUAA